rnacentral:misc_RNA from 1 species
GAUGAAGAACGUAGCGAAAUGCGAUACUUGGUGUGAAUUGCAGAAUCCCGUGAACCAUCGAGUCUUUUAACGCAAGUUGCGCCCGAAGCCAUCAGGUUGAGGGCACGUCUGCCUGGGCGUCACAUAUCGUUGCCCAAUGCCUAUUGCAGUGCAAUAGGAAUUUCUAGGGCGAAUGAUGGCUUCCCGUGAGCGUUGUUGCCUCGCGGUUGGUUGAAAAUCGAGUCCUUGGUAGGGUGUGCCAUGGUAGAUGGUGGUCGAGUUAGGACGAUACCGAUCAUGUGCAUGCUCCCCAAAAUAUGGCCUCUAUGACCCACACGCGUCUUUUGACGCUCAUGACGAGACCUCAGGUCAGGCGGGGCUACCCGCUGAAUUUAAGCAUAUCAAUAAGCGAGGA